UGCGUAGGCGGUUUGGUAAGUCUGAUGUGAAAUCUAUGGGCUCAACUCAUAGUCUGCAUCGGAAACUGCCGGGCUUGAGUAUGGGAGAGGUGAGUGGAAUUUCCGGUGUAGCGGUGAAAUGCGUAGAUAUCGGAAGGAACACCUGUGGCGAAAGCGGCUCACUGGACCAUAACUGACGCUGAUGCACGAAAGCUAGGGGAGCAAACAGGAUUAGAUACCCUGGUAGUCCUAGCCCUAAACGAUGACUGCUUGGUGUGACGGGUACCCAAUCCCGCCGUGCCGUAGCUAACGCGUUAAGCAGUCCGCCUGGGGAGUACGGUCGCAAGGCUGAA
rnacentral:rRNA from 1 species